UAACUAUCAAGUCAGUGGCCCUGAAUUGAUAAAAUGUAUCUUUCAUUUUCUAAAAUGUCAGUUUCCAAAAAAGUAUAUAUUUUGUUUCUUUCCCAUCACAUACUUCUUGGUCCCUUAGUCUCAGCAUCAAUAGAAAAUCAAACUCUGCCAUUUCCCAUAGCAUGCUGAGUAGCCAGAGCAGUGAUCUCAAACUGCAUCCAUUUCCCACUUUUUAAAAAUCCAUUUGGCCACUGCAAAUUCCUGGAAACAAAGGAUGGCGUAGGAACUAGAAGAAAAUGUGAUAAAUAUUUGGUGUCAUGAGAUGAAGAAAAUCAACCAUAAUGAGGAAAGAAGAUCCUGAUAGUCUGUGGGCAAUUGCAUCAAUUUGCCUUUCCAGGAGGACAACCCUGCAUACAAUUAAAGUCCCAAGUAAUCAAGAGAAUGAAGAGUUUUUAACAGAAAAUGGAUGUGUAGCCUAUGUAAAAUCUAUAAGCCAAACCAACCUUUGACAUUUUAAACGGAAAUUGUGUAAAGAACUGACUGAAAGAUAGACUUAAGUUUUCUCCUCCUCACACAAAAGUUGAAAAGUGACUGAUGCCAUCAAUGGUUGUCUGGUUGUUUUAUUAUGUGCAAUUAAAAAUCAGAACUGAUUCGACUGGCAGUUUUCACAUUAUGUAAACACAAUGGAAGGGGACAUAAUUCCAAUUGCUCCCUUCUGGAAUGUUUUAUGCCUACAGGCACAAGGAAGCUGGACCUUGGACAGCACAACUGCUAUUUGCCAAGUUGAGGAAAAGAAAAAAAAAAUGACUGUCUACCAGGAGUUGGAGCAGUUUUUAGAUGCUGUCAUCCUUAUUAUGCACCCUUGUGGAUUUGGAGGAGGUGGUGGGGUUCUUGACGCACAUCAUUUGCUUCCACAAAUCUCCAAAGUGAUGUCUCCUUUCCUAGAGCUGCUUUCCCAGCUGGCUCCAAUGGUUGAAGUUAAAAGCUCCAAUCCCUUAGUCCCCCUUAAAGUUUAAAAGGAAAUCUCUGAAGAGGAUGGCACAGAAACAAGAUGGAAAAAAACCCAGAUCACUAAUUAUCUAUUUGAAACCUGGGAACUCAGAUCUAGAACAACCACUUGGACUGCAACAUGAGAGAGAAAAAUAAACCUCUACUGGUUUGAGGCA
rnacentral:lncRNA from 1 species